GUUUUGUAUUGCAGAAUGGGUGUUUAAGCUCUAUAAUGUAAACUUUGUUGAUCUAGAGUAGUUUGGUGGUUUCUUGUGUAGGUCAAUGAAGAGUCUUAACAGCGAGGCAGUUGACCUGGAAGCUGAUACAGAUGAAAAGAGAGAGAGAGAGAUAAACAGACUCGCAGCAUCAGGCUAGUGAAAGCCUUGUCGGAUCACUGAAUAAGAUCCCUCUCUCCAUCCCGGGAAUCCUUCUGUUCAAGUUUCCCACUAGUUUUCAGAACUAGACCAGCAUCCUUUUGGUGUUUUAGCAGGAGUGUUAUUUGCCAGGGCCAAAAUGAGGGAAAAAUCCUAGUCCUGACAUCAGCAGGAACUAAUUUGUACCUCAAAAUUGGGUUGCAGUGGUAACAAAAACUCUGCAAACAAAGUUGACCUUCUCAAGUGCAAGCCCAAAGGAAAAUAAGUUACCAUCCGAAGACGGCAUUGUUAAUGCUUUAGAUUUGAAACUGGUUCCUUGGAUUGCUGGUAAUUUGUCUCUUUCUCUUCACUCUUCUAAACAUGCUCCUAAAAAUUAUUAAGAAGGAAAAAAUUUAAACCUACUGGUCUUCAUACCCGCAAAGGUACAUUCAUUUUCUCUACUCUUUUAUAAUGUUCAUAAUCAUUUCAAUUGAUCCAUUUCUCAUUUCAGACAGUAAUUUGCGAAUGUGAAUUUGCAAUUUUCUGCAGGUGGAUGUGUUGUUGAUGAGAAAUUGCCAAAUUAUGCUGUUUCUGAUCUGACAGACUUCGAGGUACUGUCUAUUGUCUCCAAAGCUAUUGCUUGUAUAUGUUUUCAUAUACAAAGAGAACAGGUUUGGAUUUUAAAAAAUGUUAGUACAUGAAUAUAAGAAAUAGGGUUAAGGAAAUUGUUCUCCAACAACCAUCCUUCAUUGUCAGAGUGUUCAGUUCAGUGGCAUGACGAUAUACUGAGUCAUAAAUACUAAAUACCUGGAAAAAUAGCUGGCAAAAUAAUGAAUUAAAUUUGUCUGUACAUGCUUUGAUUUAUCCAAAUAGGGUCUUAUCUAAAUGGGAGAUUCCUGGGAUGAUUCCUAGAAAAAUUAUCUAAAAAUAAGAGCAUAAUUUGGCACAUUCUAAUGCAACUUUAAACUUUAUUUUUAAAGGAGUUGUUAGGUCUUGUAGUAGAUGUAUGGAGAUAUUAUGGGUAUCCACCAAAUAGUUGAUGAUUUGACCAUUAGCUUAUGAGAUGAUGAUUCAUAGUUGUACACCAAAAUUAUGUUGCAUUCAUAACCAUCAAAAGUGGAAAUUUAAUUAGUGGAUCUUGCAAUUUGGUUGCUCUUGUUCUUGUCAAUUUGUUGGUGAGCUUCCACUAAAAUUGAAAAAACUAGCGUUUUAACAUGGAGGAGGACCACAGUGGGCUUCUUCUUCCACCAAUGAAUCAGUGAUGGCCUUCGGCAAAUACGAAAAUGCCUCGAGCUUGUGAUAAUCAACAUAUAAAGAGGAAAGGAACCCAUUGUGUGUAAUGUUUAUAAGCUCGUGGAUGAAGAAUUAUUGGACCAUUGCCAUUCCUGAAGUGAUUUUUGCAAUGCUAGUACUCAAAAUGGACCCAGUCAGGGGGAAAUGAUCCCUUCAAGUUUGGACACUGUUGAAUGUAUGACUAAAUGACCUCAGUGCAACCAAGUGGAUUGCUUCUUUUACAACCUUGCUAUAGGGGCGGCAUGUUCUAAUAGAAGGGCGACAUUCUAAUAAGACAAAAAGAAUCAUUAC